rnacentral:rRNA from 1 species
AAUUCGAUUGAAUGGCGAGCUGUCACCUUCCCUGUAAAAGGCUUCGGUUGAAACUGUUUUGACGGACAAAUUCGUUUAUUAGAUGGUGUGCGGUCCUUGAAUAACCCGCUAACUCGUGCCACACCCGGAAUACUAGGGUGAAGCGUUAAUCGGAAUUACUGGGCGUAAAGCGUGCGCAGGCGGUUAUGUAAGACAGAUGUGAAAUCCCCGGGCUCAACCUGGGAACUGCGUUUGAGACUGUAUAACUAGAAUACGGCAGAGGGGGGUGGAAUUCCCCGUGUAGCAGUGAAAUGCGUAGAUAUGCGGAGGAACACCGAUGGCGAAGGCAAUCCCCUGGGACUGUACUGACGCUCAUGCACGAAAG